UGAUAGUCAGCGGCGGGCGCCUCCGCCUCC
rnacentral:sRNA from 1 species